CUAGGAGCCUGGUAGCAAAGUCU
rnacentral:misc_RNA from 1 species